rnacentral:lncRNA from 1 species
AUGAGAACUUCUGUCACCUCCACCCCCGCUGUCCGGCGUGUGGCGCAGCAGGAUAGACGGCGAACCUGGCAACCCGCUGCGUGCUCCGAUAGGCAGGACCACUCUCCUCCUCCUCCUCCUCCUCCUCCCGCUCCGGGCCUUUUCCAUCCUCCACGUCUCCACACGUCGCCGCAGACGAUCGAACCGUCCGACCGCUCGUGUCCACGUCUGUCGUCGCAUCUCGAGCCUCCGGGAAGUUUCACAGCGUCCGGACACGUCGCGUCGCGGAGCAGAUUCAUGACAACAGAGAUUAAAGACAUUUCAUUGUGUUCAACACAUUUAUGAAGAUAUCGAUCGAUUUAUUUUCUUUAUGAAUUGACUUAUACGCUCAUUGCCCCCCCCACACAACACACUCCCGUUGUUCCUGCCACGUCAUCAUGCAGGUUGUGAACUUGAGCCUGAUGAGAAAUUUAGUUUUUUUUCCCAAAAAUAUCGAUCUCAAACUUGAUUUUAGUCACAGCAGGAUGAGUUGAUCAAUGAGUCAAUCGACACUAAUUGAAUCUGCAGCUCUUCUGAUCAUUGAUGAAUCUCUCAACACAACACUUCACCUUCUCAGUUUCCAAGAGAAAGUUUGUAACAUGUCAUAACUUUCUUUGACCUAAUCUUGGGCUAAUUUCUGAUAUACAUAUAAUUUUCAUUAUAUAUAAUAUAUGAUUAGAGGUGCAACUAA